GGCCUGUUAGUUCAGCUGGUUAGAGCGUGGUGCUAAUAACGCCAAGGUCGUGGGUUCGAUCCCCACAUGGGCCA
rnacentral:tRNA from 1 species